rnacentral:tRNA from 1 species
GGUAGCAUAGUGGUUAAGAGUUUGGCUGUUAACCAAAAGGUUGGUGGUUUGAAUCCACCAGCUGCCC